UACGGGGGGAGCGAGCGUUGUUCGGAGUUACUGGGCGUAAAGAGUGCGUAGGCGGUUUUUCUAAGUUUGGUGUGAAAUCUCCCGGCUUAACUGGGAGGGUGCGCCGAAGACUGGAAGGCUUGAGUAUGGGAGAGGUAAGCGGAAUUCCUGGUGUAGCGGUGAAAUGCGUAGAUAUCAAGAGGAACACCGGUGGCGAAGGCGGAUCUCUGGGCCUGUCCUGACGCUCAGGCGCGAAAGCUAGGGGGAGCGAACAGG
rnacentral:rRNA from 1 species